rnacentral:tRNA from 1 species
GCCGCCUUAGCUCAGCUGGUUAGAGCACUAGAUUGUGGAUCUAGGGGUCGGUGGUUCGAGCCCACCAGGCGGUACCA